GACGAACGCUGGCGGCGUGCCUAACACAUGCAAGUCGAACGGAUUUGGGAGGUGCGAGGUUAGAGGUUGUUUGAGAAGUGGGAAGUGAGAGGUUAGAAGUGAGAAUCAAUAGAAAUUGGCGAAGCCAAUUUCCUCAAAAGAACUCACAUCCAACUUCGCAGAUCUUACCUCACAGAGCAACUUCUCACCUCACACUUCUCAGAUUAGUGGCGGACGGGUGAGUAACGCGUGAGGAGCUGUCCUAUGCAGGGGGACAACAGCUGGAAACGGCUGCUAAUACCCCAUAAGCCGAGAGGUAAAAGGAUCAAUCCGGCAGAGGAGGUACUCGCGUCCUAUCAGCUAGUAGGUGAGGUAACGGCUCACCUAGGCGAAGACGGGUAGCCGGCCUGAGAGGGCGAACGGCCACACUGGAACUGAGACACGGUCCAGACUCCUACGGGAGGCAGCAGUGGGGAAUAUUGGGCAAUGGGGGAGACCCUGACCCAGCGACGCCGCGUGA
rnacentral:rRNA from 1 species